rnacentral:rRNA from 1 species
CACGUAGGGCGCAAGCGUUGUCCGGAAUUAUUGGGCGUAAAGAGCUCGUAGGCGGUCUGUUGCGUCCGCUGUGAAAACCCAGGGCUUAACCCUGGGCUGGCAGUGGAUACGGACAGACUAGAGGUAGGUAGGGGAGAAUGGAAUUCCCGGUGUAGCGGUGAAAUGCGCAGAUAUCGGGAGGAACACCUGUGGCGAAGGCGGCUUUCUGGGCCCUACCUGACGCUGAGACGCGAAAGCGUGGGGAGCGAACCGG